rnacentral:lncRNA from 1 species
UUAUCUCUCUUGCAAUUUUUAUUUUCCUUUUUCCUUUUUAGCAUUUAGUUAAUUCUUUUCGUGCAAUAGUUUCUACACCGGAAACUAUUGUGCACCUUUUUACCGGAUCUAACCUUACGUUAGAAUCCAGUUUUUAUUUCCUUCGUUUUGUUUUGUUGUUUAAUUGAAGAAUCCAAGAACAAAUCCUACCGGCUUGUGGUGGAGUGUUCAAGACUAUUGUUUAA